rnacentral:rRNA from 1 species
GACGAACGCUGGCGGCGUGCUUAACACAUGCAAGUCGAACGAAGAGCGAUGGAAUCUUUCUUCUAUCAGUCUUAGUGGCGAACGGGUGAGUAACGCGUAAUCUACCUGCCCUUCAGAGGGAGACAACAGUAGGAAACGACUACUCAUACCACAUACGACCUAAUCUUGGCAUCGAUUAAAGAUUAAAGGUGGCCUCUAUUUAUAAGCUCUCACUUCAGGUUGUGAUUGGGUCAGAUUAUCUCGUUGGAGGGGUAACGGCCCACCAAGGCGAUGAUGAGUAGCCGGGCUGAGAGGAUGAACGGCCACAUUGGGACUGAGACACGGCACAGACUCCGACGGGAGGCAGAAGUGGGGAAUCUUCCGAAAUGGAGGAAAGUCUGACGGAGGAACGCCGCGCGAGUGAUGACGGCCUUCGGGUUGUAAAGCUCUGUUAGUCGGGACGAGGGCUUCUUGCGAACAGUUAGAAGGAUUGACGGUACCGGAAUAGAAAGCCACGGCUAACUACGUG